ACGCAUCAGCAUUGCCGCCAUCGAUGUAUAAUGUGUCACCUGAGUGCUUUAUGACAAUAAAAUGCUGAUCUAUACUAUAAAAGUGCCUAACAGGUAAUAAAUAGUUUGUGAUACAUAAAAAAUGUCGACCACAAGAUUUACCUGCGCACUCUACUUGGACCUCAUUUUGUGAAUUUAUCACAGCCUACAGGUUCUGAUGAAUGACUCGCUGACAGCGUAGCAGGUAAUGGUGGAGCUGGUUCUCCCUGCAGCUGGGACAGCGCACAUCUGACCGCUGACAGCAUCUCCGGAGUGGACUUCCUUCCUCGCGGCGCGUGCGGUCGAUGCGGACGAGUCAUACGCUCGCCAGUCGCCGUUGAUUCUGUUGAGAAAAGUUAUUUUCCUCUUAAAAACUCUCAAAAAAAUAACUUAAAAUAUACCACAACAUUAAAAUAAAAUUAUAUUUGAUCUUAUUUCUCAUCUAAA